UACAGAGGGUGCGAGCGUUAAUCGGAAUUACUGGGCGUAAAGCGUGCGUAGACGGUAAUGUAAGUCGGGUGUGAAAGCCCCGGGCUCAACCUGGGAAUUGCAUUCGAGACUGCAUCGCUUGGGCGCGGAAGAGGGAAGCGGAAUUUCCGGUGUAGCGGUGAAAUGCGUAGAUAUCGGAAGGAACACCAGUGGCGAAAGCGGCUUCCUGGUCCGACACCGACGUUCAGGCACGAAAGCGUGGGGAGCAAACAGG
rnacentral:rRNA from 1 species